CUGUACAUUUUUUUCCCUCUGGUGUUUUGUUUUAUGUUGGGGUGCAGCGGUCUUCUUCAGUGGUUCUGCUCCCCGACCCUGCGGCGGGAAAAUACGCUCACUUGUGGGUUUCUGGGAAGGCAGCGGUGAAUGAAACAUCUGCUGGGAGCAAGAUGUAUGACUGGUUUCCAGGCUGAUGAUUGAGGAUGACAACGCCCACAUCCACGGGGCAUAAGGGGUCACUACAGAUUUGAUGAGUAUCAACUUGCGAUCACACUCACCAGAUCACAACCCAGUUCAGCCUCUGUUGGAGAUUUGGGGUCAACAUUUUAGAUAGUUCUCUCAACCACCAUCAUCACAGGAAACUCUUUUAGAAAAUAUGUGUUUCACUCAUUGAAGUUGCUCUGUGGUUGUGUGGUGGGCCAGUACCACUUUUUUUUUUCCCUUUGAUUUGUUACCCAACUGUACAUUUUACAUUUUAGCAAGUACUGCAUUAUUUCAUAUGCUGUAUCAUACAUGGCUAUAAAUAACUUAAAAUCAGCAGAAAGGAAUAUGUGACAAAGUUAUGACAACUCAAAAGCUAAUUUAAGUUUUUCUUUUUUUUUUGCAUCCCUGAAUUGAUAAGUGGAAGAGGAUAUGUUGAUGGAUGGAUGGUCAUAGUUGAAUCCAUACUUACUCACCCAAAUAUAAGCACUGGCUCUUAGCACUUGAUGGAGCUUGCUGAUGACAACCAUGAAAUCAGUGUUGUUUCUUCUUUAAUAAAAACAAUGUUUCAAAGGUUACAUCAAAAAUGACAUAAUCGUGUGUCAAACCACAAAUAAGUACCAGUCAUUGUUCAAUUUCUUGUAUGUGAAAAAUGAUUAAAAACAAAAAACAAAUCUUCACAACAUUUCACAUUAUAAUAUAGGUAAUAGUUCAUUAUUACCAUCAUUAUUAAUUGAUACUUAACUUUAGUUAGCAGUUCUUUCAUUGUUAACAAACACUGAAACACAAUAAAUAAUGAUACUUAUUGUAACUUUGCACAUUCCAUCCAUCCAUUCAUCCAUCCAUUCUCUUCUGCUUAUAUCCUUUUGAGGGUUGCACGGGGGUGGGGGGUAAUCAUUAGUAGUUAUCCUUUUAUGGUCAACAGCAGGGCAAUCCUACACACAAUUGCGGGCAAUUUCUGCCAAAAGUUUGCAUGCUCUCCUUGUGUCUUUGUGGGUUUUGUCAGGUUAAGGCGUGGGAGUGGACCCAAAAGCAGAUUCAAAUGACAAUGAGACAGAGAAUUUAACAGCACGUUACAGAACACUAGGACAUUUGCUGUGAACGCAGAAAUGUAGCGUGAGUCUCUGGCGUGGAGGCAACUGAAACAGAGGGAGGGGGACGUUAAUUCCUAAGUGGAGGUAAUAUUGGCAAAAGGUAAGUAUUGAGUUUGGGAAAGAAAGCCCUAUUUGUAGAUGGGAGGCUCCGUGAGCGGGGGAAUCGAGGGAGUGUCCACCUGAAUGAGUAUGAUGCUCCGACCUUUUAUUUCCAGGGAUUCAGAAGAGCACUGUGAGCCGGAUAGCAGGCAGGUGAGAGUGAUUGAUUAGUGGUGGCUCCGAGGAAUGAGCACGCAGACUGAAACAGUGAGUUUGAUACGAUGUGACUGGCAUUCAGGAAAAAAUAGUGCAGGUGAGUCAAGUCUGGGUCUUGGAGGAAGAAAUUGUGAGGUUGUAGACGAACUGGCAUUGAGUGGAAGGCUGGGCUGGUCUUUAAUGCUGGCCUGCUAAUUGCCAUUCCUGAAUCACAGGUGGAUGAUGCAGGUGUAAAAACAGGGCUCUGUGUCCCCAUGGGCGGAUACAAGAAAACCAGAGCCAAUGCGGAAAAACACCAAAACAGCAGACACUCACUCGGAUCAUGACAGUGUCGUCUUUUGAGGCCAAGAAGAACUGAGAGAUGGAUGGAUGAAGGGAGGGAUGGAUGGAUGGGAGAAUGUGACCACUUCUGAGGCAUUGUCGACAGCCACGCUGAAUAGGCAGCGGGCCUGCCUGGAACCACGCCUGUAUUUAUGAUCUUCAAAGGAAGGAUGACACACACACGCUCACGCACAUCCACAAAUUAUUGAUAGUUACAGGAAAACACAUGCUUGUGCAAGUGUGGCACAUGCAAAUUUGCAUAUAGAUUUCAUCUCACACAUAAUAAAGAAAGAAAAAGCAAUUCUUACAUACAUGGCACCAGCACAAGUACCACCGCUGUGGUCACAGCAGGUCAGUUUUAGUGAAAUGUGCAUUGCUGUUUAGCUAUAAAUGGCAGAUUUAGGGUCAGAAUGGUGCAAAGGUCUUUACAGUGCCUAUACAGGUUUCGCACGUGAAGUAAUGUGCACACUGAGAGAGUUGUCCGCCACAUUAUAUAUGAAACAACCACUGGGGAAAAUGUGUAUUGUAAUGUGUAAUGUGUAUUAUAAGUAAGCAUAAAAAAGUCCCCAAUCUGGAAAUGGAGAAAGUUCACCUUCAGUGUAAAAGUUGUGCCUUAGCGCCAGUGUUGGGAAGGUUACU